AACGAACGCUGGCGGCAUGCCUAAUACAUGCAAGUCGAACGAGAUCUUCGGAUCUAGUGGCGCACGGGUGCGUAACGCGUGGGAAUCUGCCCUUGGGUUCGGAAUAACUUCGGGAAACUGAAGCUAAUACCGGAUGAUGACGUAAGUCCAAAGACUUAUCGCCCAAGGAUGAGCCCGCGUAGGAUUAGCUAGUUGGUGGGGUAAAGGCCUACCAAGGCGACGAUCCUUAGCUGGUCUGAGAGGAUGAUCAGCCACACUGGGACUGAGACACGGCCCAGACUCCUACGGGAGGCAGCAGCAGGGAAUAUUGGACAAUGGGCGAAAGCCUGAUCCAGCAAUGCCGCGUGAGUGAUGAAGGCCUUAGGGUUGUAAAGCUCUUUUACCCGGGAUGAUAAUGACAGUACCGGGAGAAUAAGCUCCGGCUAACUCCGUGCCAGCCGCCGCCGUAA
rnacentral:rRNA from 1 species